GCUGGAGUGGCGAAAUUGGUAUACGCGCGUGGUUUAGGACCACGUGGGGUAACCCGUGGAGGUUCGAGUCCUCUCUCCAGCA
rfam:Candidatus Buchananbacteria bacterium RIFCSPHIGHO2_01_FTLL_47_11b rifcsphigho2_01_scaffold_19733, whole genome shotgun sequence.